UACAGGCAUGAAAUUACUAUCAAAUCCCCAAAGCGCUCGGCAAACGAAGGGUGCGCGCUGCGCGGGUGAGGGAUCUGAUGUUGACUUAAACACAAAUGAAAGGAGGAUUCAUGCAACAGAAAGAACAGAUAUAUGCCUAACCCGACGCCGUACAACAGAUACACACUCACGCGUUUAUUGUCGCUAUUGAAAUCAACAUGCCGCUGUGGUUCAGAAGUCAAACGGAGGUCAUCCUUUAUAUCCCCCCGCAGCAAUCUGCGACCAGGGACAAGUCAGCAGAGAACCCUGCCAUUUCCACUCCUGACAACUGCCUCAAUGUUACAAGACUAUCGGGAAUGGGUAAGACGCGCCUGGAUAAAACAGCAGGCUACUAACUUUUUCUUGAUCUUGCCACUGCCUGGUUUUAAUGCUCUUACAGCGUGUUUCAAGUGCCUGUCAAAUAUAAAGUGUGUGAAUAUUCAAAUAAUUGUGUAUCUAUUUUAAGAGUUUCCUUAGCCGAGUGCACAACGGAGACGUUUUAGACAAUCAGUACCUAAUACAAUUUAAAGGGAAUAAUUAUUUACCAAUCGAGAGAAAAAUGAAAUUAAUUGACCUGCCAAGGUUGCAAAUAUAAUAUAAUAAUAAAACUGUAAAACUAAAAAAAACUUUGGGAACUUUUGAUGCUCCAUACGUUUUCUAAGCUAUUGGCCUACGUCAAUUAAUCAGAUACGUGCAUGCGUCCGGAAAUUUUAUGUACAACUAGUAGGAAUGAAAAAAAAAAAACAAACAAACAAAAAAAAAAACCUUGGGUUAAAUAAUUUUUAUACUUCAGAUGUAGUUAAAAAUAUUGGAUUUAGCCUUCAUUUAUACUUGUAAUAGUUUGAAACAUUAAAAGAACGCGCUAUUUUGACUGAGCAUUUAUUUAUUUCUAAUAUAGGCUACAUAUUCAUAUGUCUAAUUUAAAUUAGAAAUCAGUGUGUUUUUCUUUUAUUUGGCAUUGUGGUUUUAUUUUAAUUUGCUUUGUAGUUUUAUUUAUGCUUGAUCUUAUCAUUUUAACAAACUUUCUUAAUUGAGAAGCGUACUUCAGGCCUAUUGGGUUUGCAAUAAUGUAAACUACUACACAAGAUCCAAAAGAAAAACAUAUUUGUCGAAUGCAAAGGCUCGCAGUGACCUGUAUGCUUGAUCAUGUGCGCCUUCUACUGGAAACAUACAGAAUUUUCUUUCUUUGUUUCUUAAUGAGACGCAAUGACUUUUCACACACACACACACACACACACACAC
ensembl:lncRNA